CUAGAUCUCUCUAAUAGCUAGGAAAGUUUUGGACUUUAGAUCAUUCGAUAAAGAUGUUAGGAUCAUGUGGUCGUAUAGUGAAUGUAACAAAUGUGUUAGAUUAGAGUUCAAUUGCAAAGCCUCUGGUUAGGAUCAAGAAAGAACCCAUCUUUUAUUAUACGAAUGAAUCUCUGAGUGUGUGAAGUGAUAUUUUGGUUUAGUCAAAACGCACUUCACCUCGAGGAGAAGGAAAAGAAGGAGAAGGAGAUGCGGAAUCAGAUCAUAGCUGAAGCUGACGAAUACAAGAAGGCCUUUUAUGAGAAGAGAGAGAAGACCAUCGAGACCAACAAGGCUGAUAACCGCGAACGAGAGAAGGUAAUAAUCUCUGUGUGAUUCAAUUCAAGCCAGCUUUUUGUGUGAGAUUCUUGUAAAACUCCUGGACUUUAGAUCAUUCGAUAAAGAUGUUAGGAUCAUGUGGUCGUAUAGUGAAUGUAACAAAUGUGUUAGAUUAGAGUUCAAUUGCAAAGCCUCUGGUUAGGAUCAAGAAAGAACCCAUCUUUUAUUAUACGAAUGAAUCUCUGAGUGUGUGAAGUGAUAUUUUGGUUUAGUCAAAACGCACUUCACCUCGAGGAGAAGGAAAAGAAGGAGAAGGAGAUGCGGAAUCAGAUCAUAGCUGAAGCUGACGAAUACAAGAAGGCCUUUUAUGAGAAGAGAGAGAAGACCAUCGAGACCAACAAGGCUGAUAACCGCGAACGAGAGAAGGUAAUAAUCUCUGUGUGAUUCAAUUCAAGCCAGCUUUUUGUGUGAGAUUCUU
rnacentral:lncRNA from 1 species